AAUCAGAUGACCAGCCCCCAAGCUGAGGCACAGAUAGAAAGAAAAAAAAAAAGAGAGAGAAUGAGAGGAGGGAUGGGAAGGCAGGGAGAGUGAAAGAAGAGUGAAGGGAGGGAGGCGAAUCUAAGAGAACAUUGCCGCACGACUGUGUGUCUGUCCUCAAUGAGUAUACACUGAAAUAUCAACAGGUUUUGCAAGAUAACCAAAAGCAUUGACUACAUUACCUAGAGACAGCUGAUUUCCUCAAGCCAAAAUCAUGGAAAGGACAGAGAACAAAGUAUCCAGUAUCUCCCCACAAAAACAGACAGUGAAAAAUAGAUCCAAGUCCACAGAAGAGGUACAGCAAGCCAAAAAGGCCUUUCAUACGCCACAAAAAUCUCUUCCGGCUAAACCAGAAACCGAGCAACUAGAGGAGACCUCAGAACUGAGUGCCUCAUCGGAGGAAUUCAAAUGAUUGCUGGAUUCAAACUUCGGGCCUUUGAGCUUUAGACAGAUCAACUGGAAUUAUGGGUAAUAACAAGAGGGUUAUUCAGUGUCUCUGUUUAUGGAAUUGUGAUUUUACUUAGAUUAGUUAGCAUAGAAGAAAACUAACAAUAGUCAUGUGUAGCUUCUUGAAUUUGUAUGAGUCUGAUGAUGUUUGUGAAAUAAAUGCAGACCUGGAUAUCACA